GCUUUCCUAGCUUACUUAAAGCAUUACUUUGAAGCGGUAAAGAAAACAAACGUUGGUGAGCA
rnacentral:tRNA from 1 species